CAUUUUCCUAGAAAUAAGAGUAAAAUAAUUCUCAUUAAAAAUUACUUUUUUAUUUAAAAGUUGUUUUUAUCCUAUUCCCAAAGUAACAUUAAAAGUUCUUUCUAUCAACCUGAAAGUUGUUAAACUUUUAAAGCAUAUCAAACGAUUAACAACAAGAAACGGAAAAUAUCACUUCUCAUCUCUUUUUUCCUCUCAGUGUCUGACAGCGACGAAAUCAGCAGCGCUCGCUAGGAGCAAAGUAGCCACGACAUGUGUAUAAAAAGUACAUAUUUAGUUCGUAUUCUAUUUUUGUAAUUUUUCACGAAAUCUUUAGCCGAAGAAAAAAGAAGGACAUCAGGCCAUUUCCAGAUAACCUGUUUAUUUCGGCGUUUCUGACUAAGAGAAAUCCGUGGCGCGAUGACCAAAUAUCUGCACGCAGCGCACCCCAAAGAGCUGAAUCAUUUUAAGUCGGUUACCAGCUGUUCGGAUGCUCUGGCCGAGGCUCUGACCCUUUUGUGUGGAAAUCCGACAAAGAAUCUAAUGUGAUCUAACUCUGAUCAAUUUUAACAAAGCUAACUAAUAAAUAAUGAAAUAAACAUGCUGAAACUAUA